AUGGCCGGCGGGAAGGAGCCGAUCGAGGUCAAGUUCCGGCUCUUCGACGGCACGGACAUCGGCCCCAGCAAGUACGACCCCGCCACCACCGUCUCCGCGCUCAAGGACUUCAUCCUCGCCCGGUGGCCGCAAGAUAAGGAAAUAACUCCAAAAACUGUCAAUGACCUGAAGCUCAUCAAUGGUGGAAAGAUAUUGGAGAAUAACCGGACACUUGCCGAGUCGCGUGUUACAAUAGGAGAGGUCCCUGGAGGUGUAAUUACAAUGCAUGUGGUAGUGCGCCCUCCACAAGUUGACAAAAACCGUGAGAAGCAGCUGGGCAAUUCCCCCAAGCAGAACAGAUGCGGAUGCACCAUACUGUGA
rnacentral:rRNA from 1 species